GGAUGUAGCCUGGAAAGUGCACAGAGCUGAGCCAAGGGAUUUAAAGGGAGCAACCAAGGGAGGUGAAGAAAGUAGGAAGAAGGGAACUGAGGCAUCAGCCAAGCAGCACCAAGUUCCUGUGUAAACAGAUGUACCAAGAACUGGUAGUUCUUGCAGUGGGAUGUACUCUAGAAACUGCAAGGAGCUGAGCCAAGGACCUUAAAAGGGACUAAGCAAACAAAGUAAAGAAUGAAUGAAGAAGAGAACUGAGGCAGCAGCCAAGCAGCACCAAGUUCCUCUACAACCAGAAACUCUGGAUCCUGGCCAUCCUCAAAACACAACACCAGGACAAUGUGACCUGGGAAGCAAAUGGACCUUGCCCAGGGGAGGAGUUGUUUCCUUGAGUGCCCUGCCUGUCAGCAAAACACCAGGCCCAAGGGAUCCUGGCAAGUGCAGCCCUGGAAGAGUCAGGAAGACUCAAAAAUGCCCCAGUUCUGAUGAAACUCAACUGUGUAAAACAUUUAUGAAGCUAAAAUUCCCCAGCCUUGAGCUGUUGGGUCCCAAAGAAUAGUGGAGGGAGAGGCAGAGACUCCCCCUGCUGCUGGGGCUGAACUGUGUGCAGUGAGGGGGCAGGACUUGGCCCUGAUGCCUGAGUGCUCUCCAGCCCCCAGGAUGGAUCCCAACUGUCAGCCCCUGGCUCCAUCCCUUGAGAAGAUGGUGUUCCUGCCAGCCCAGCUGCUGUGCUGGUGGUCCUGGGGGCACCUCCUGCCCUGGCCUGCUGUGCCUGUGUUUGUGCUGCAGCUCAAUAAAGUCCCUUUCAGUGGUGAUGGUGUCACUUUGGUGUCAGUUCCUCUCCCCUCUUCCCCUGCCCCCGUGGCUGCAUCACUGCCUUGUGCCUAAAUGAACUCUUCCCCUGCAGCAGUUCCCUGCUGCUCCCAGAGAGGGUGGAGCUGAGGCCCCUGAGCCAAGGGAAAAAGGAUCCAUCCAAGGCAGGCCCGUGCUCCCCCCCUGCCUUCCUCCAGCCUCCCGUGUUUCCAGUUCCCCUCCCUGCUGGACACACAGCCUGUUCCCAAACAACCCCUGUUCCUGUUCUCUCUCUGUGUCUCCCCUCACAACUCCCCUCCUCUAAUCUCCAGCUGCCCAGGCCCCUGGUUUUGAGGGGCAUUCCUGGGCUGCUGCCCCCCCAUUCUUUAUAAAUGAAGUGCCAAGAGCCCCAAGUGCAGAGAGGUCUGCAGGGAAUCAGUGCCAAGAGCUGCCCGUGCCUGCCUGUGUUCCUGCAGUUCUCCUUCCUGCUCUCCCUGGGCUGGAGAGACCUGCCUGCCCUGGGUUUAUUGGAGCAGAGGGAUGGGAUUCCAUUGGUGCAGAAGGGAUGUUCACAGACACUCCUUUUCUGACAGGCAGUGCCAUUUCCCUUCUGCCUUUCCCAAGUUUUCCCAAGUGCUGCCCAGCCCGGGGAUCCGUGUGCUGGGACAGUGAUUGGCAGGAGGAAGGGGAGCCUUGGCCUCACCUGCCCAGCUCAGGCCAGGCCAAAGCCCUGAUCCAGCCCAGCUCUGCCAAGU